CAGAUGUUUUAAGUGAGAUGUUUUAAGUGAGAUGUUUUAAGUGAGGUGUAUAACUUAUACUCAUUGCAUAAUAUUUGUACUAUAUGUUUUUGCUAACUUGUAUUUUGUUUUGUCUCUUCCAG